rnacentral:rRNA from 1 species
GACGAACGCUGGCGGCGUGCUUAACACAUGCAAGUCGAACGGAAAGGCCCUGCUUGUGUGGGGUGCUCGAGUGGCGAACGGGUGAGUAACACGUGAGUAACCUGCCCUGGACUUUGGGAUAACUUCAGGAAACUGGGGCUAAUACCGGAUAGGAGCUCCUGCUGCAUGGUGGGGGUUGGAAAGUUUCGGCGGGUGGGGAUGGACGCGCGGCUUAUGAGCUGGUGGGUGGGGUAGUGGCUUACCAAGGCUUUGACGGGUAGCCGGCCUGAGAGGGCGACCGGCCACAUUGGGACUGAGAUACGGCCCAGACUCCUACGGGAGACAGCAGUGGGGAAUAUUGCACAAUGGGCGGAAGCCUGAUGCAGCAACGCCGGGUGCGGAAUGACGGCCUUCGUGUUGUAAACCGCUUUCGCCUGUGACGAAGCGUGAGUGACGGUAAUGGGUAAAGAAGCACCGGCUAACUACGUG